rnacentral:rRNA from 1 species
GAACGCUAGCGACGUGCCUAAGAAAUGCAAGUCGAGCGAGGCCAUGGAGCUUGCUCCGGAAGCCUAGCGGCGAACGGUCGCGUAACACGUAAGCAACCUGCCCCAAAGUUUGGGAUAGCCCUCCGAAAGGGGGAUUAAUACCGGAUGUGGAUGUUGAUAUGCAUGUAUUAACAUCUAAAGCAUUUAUGCGCUUUGGGAUGGGCUUGCGGCCUAUCAGCUAGUUGGUGAGGUAACGGCUCACCAAGGCGACGACGGGUAGCUGGUCUGAGAGGAUGGUCAGCCGGACUGGGACUGAGACACGGCCCAGACCCCUACGGGGGGCAGCAAUUAGGAAUCUUGCGCAAUGGGCGAAAGCCUGACGCAGCGACGUCGCGUGAACGAUGAAGUCUUUCGGGAUGUAAAGUUCUUUUCUGAGGGAAGAAGGAUGUGACGGUACCUCAGGAAUAAGCCCCGGCUAACUACGUGCCAGCAGCCGCGGUAAUACGUAGGGGCGAGCGUUGUCCGAAUUUACUGGGCGUAAAGCGCGCGUAGGUGGACUCUUAAGUUGGUGGUGAAAUGCCGAGGCUCAACCUCGGAACUGCCUUCAAAACUGGGAGUCUUGAGGCUUGGAGAGGGAAGUGGAAUUCCUGGUGUAGCGGUGAAAUGCGUAGAUAUCAGGAGGAACACCGAUGGCGAAGGCAGCUUCCUGGCCAUGUCCUGACGCUGAGUGCGAAAGCCAGGGUAGCGAACGGGAUUAGAUACCCCGGUAGUCCUGGCCGUAAACGAUGGAUACUAGGUGUUAGAGGUAUCGACCCCUCUAGUG